GACGAACGCUGGCGGCGUGCUUAACACAUGCAAGUCGAACGGUGAAGGGAUCAGCUUGCUGGUUCUGGAUGAGUGGCGAACGGGUGAGUAACACGUGAGUAACCUGCCCCCUUCUUCUGGAUAACCGCAUGAAGGUGUGGCUAAUACGGGAUAUUCUGCGCCUGCUGCAUGGUGGGUGUGGGAAAGAUAUUGUUUCGGUGGGGGAUGGGCUCGCGGCCUAUCAGCUUGUUGGUGGGGUGAUGGCCUACCAAGGCGGUGACGGGUAGCCGGCCUGAGAGGGUGGACGGUCACACUGGGACUGAGACACGGCCCAGACUCCUACGGGAGGCAGCAGUGGGGAAUAUUGCACAAUGGGCGCAAGCCUGAUGCAGCGACGCCGCGUGAGGGAUGGAGGCCUUCGGGUUGUGAACCUCUUUCGCCAGUGAAGCAGGCCUGUCCCUUGUGGGUGGGUUGACGGUAGCUGGAUAAGAAGCGCCGGCUAACUACGUG
rnacentral:rRNA from 1 species